rnacentral:rRNA from 1 species
UGGGGAAUAUUGCACAAUGGGGGAAACCCUGAUGCAGCGACGCCGCGUGAGCGAUGAAGUAUUUCGGUAUGUAAAGCUCUAUCAGCAGGGAAGAAAAUG